UACGUAGGGCGCAAGCGUUGUCCGGAAUUAUUGGGCGUAAAGAGCUCGUAGGCGGCUUGUCACGUCGGGCGUGAAAGCCCUCGGCUCAACCGAGGAAGUGCACCCGAAACUGCUGAGCUUGAGUGCCGGAGAGGAUGGCGGAAUACCCCAAGUAGAGGUGAAAUUCGUAGAUAUGGGGUGGAACACCGGUGGCGAAGGCGGCCAUCUGGACGGUAACUGACGCUGAGACGCGAAAGCGUGGGUAGCAAACAGG
rnacentral:rRNA from 1 species